GAUGAACGCCGGCGGUGUGCCUAAUACAUGCAAGUCGAGCGCACUGGCCCAACUGAAAUGACGUGCUUGCACAGAAUAGACGUUGGAUUCCCAGUGAGCGGCGGACGGGUGAGUAACACGUGGGCAACCUGCCCCAAAGCGGGGGAUAACAUUUGGAAACAGAUGCUAAUACCGCAUAAGUUGGAAAACCACAUGGUUUUCCCAUCAAAGAUGGUUUCGGCUAUCACUUUGGGAUGGGCCCGCGGUGCAUUAGCUAGUUGGUAAGGUAACGGCUUACCAAGGCGAUGAUGCAUAGCCGAGUUGAGAGACUGAUCGGCCACAAUGGAACUGAGACACGGUCCAUACUCCUACGGGAGGCAGCAGUAGGGAAUCUUCCACAAUGGGCGCAAGCCUGAUGGAGCAACACCGCGUGAGUGAAGAAGGGUUUCGGCUCGUAAAGCUCUGUUGUUGGAGAAGAACGUGCGUAAGAGUAACUGUUUACGCAGUGACGGUAUCCAACCAGAAAGUCACGGCUAGCUACGUGCCAGCAGCCGCGGUAAUACGUAGGUGGCAAGCGUUAUCCGGAUUUAUUGGGCGUAAAGCGAGCGCAGGCGGUUGCUUAGGUCUGAUGUGAAAGCCUUCGGCUUAACCGAAGAAGUGCAUCGGAAACCGGGCGACUUGAGUGCAGAAGAGGACAGUGGAACUCCAUGUGUAGCGGUGGAAUGCGUAGAUAUAUGGAAGAACACCAGUGGCGAAGGCGGCUGUCUGGUCUGCAACUGACGCUGAGGCUCGAAAGCAUGGGUAGCGAACAGG
rnacentral:rRNA from 1 species